UAAACCUGAACCCGUUACGGGGAAAGCGGAUUGCGUUGGAUUGGUGGGCGCUUGUGUGUUCAGCCUUCGGGUGCAUUGGCACAAGUGCUUAUCCGCUGUGAGUUCUCGGGAGUCGACUUUGGAUUCCUGGGGGCUGAGGGCUCCCCUUCAUGGGUGAGGACAGCGGAGUGACGACGCGAUACGACCCGUCUUGAAACACGGACCAAGGAGUCUAGCGCGGGUGCGAGUCGGAGGGUGCAAGCCCGUGGGCGAAGUGAAAGCGAGUGUAAAAACGAGCAGUUUGGGGCGGCAUAAGAUCGUUGAUCUUAAGACCGACCCAGAGCAGUUGCGCUGGGACCCGAAAGAUGGUGAACUAUGCCGGAGUAGGGCAAAGCCAGAGGAAACUCUGGUGGAGGCUCGUAGCGGUGCUGACGUGCAAAUCGCUCGUCGAACUUGGGUAUAGGGGCGAAAGACUAAUCGAACCAUCUAGUAGCUGGUUCCCUCCGAAGUUUCUCUCAGGAUAGCGGGCCGACAAGUUGUUUUGUGCGGUAAAGCGAAUGAUUAGCGCAAUCGGGGGCGUUUAGCCUUUGGGCGAUUCUCAAACUUUCAAUGCGCAAGGGUGCCGCUGCUUAAUUGAGCGGUACCGGUAAAAACGUCGGCCCUGUGGGCCACUUUUGGUAAGCAGAACUGGCGAUACGGGAUGAACCGUAAGCAAGGUUAAGGCGCCAAACUGCCCGCUUAUAGACCCCACAAAAGGUGUUGAUUCAUCGAGACAGCAGGACGGUGGCCAUGGAAGUCGGAAUCCGCCAAGGAGUGUGUAACAACUCACCUGCCGAAUGAAUUAGCCCUGAAAAUGGAUGGCGCUGAAGCGGGCGGCCGACACCUUGCCGUCUGAACAAGAAUUUCAGAUGAGUAGGAGGGCGUGGCGGCCGUGUCGAAGCGCGCGUGCAGACGCGUGUGGAACGGCCGCUAGUGCAGAUCUUGGUGGUAGUAGCAAGUAUUCAAGCGAGAUCCUUGAAGGGCGAAGUGGGGAAGGGUUUCACGCGAACAUUGAUUGGGCGUGAGUGAGUCGUUCCUAAGCCGAGUGGCAAUUGCUAAUUAACGGCGAAAGGGAAGCGGGUUGACAUUCCCGCACACGGAUGUGGAGGCGGCGACGCAUUAUUGGGGCGAACACGCUGGCGAUGGCGCUG
rnacentral:rRNA from 1 species